GGAAAGGGGGCGGCGUUAAAUUUUCGCCAAUUCUCGUCAAUCGUAAUCUCGCUCAAAUCUCGUCAAUCCUCGUACUACAUAGUGUUUUGGGUUUUUUUGGAUAGAUUUCUUAAUGAAGAUAAAUUCCUUGACGUAGAUUAAGAAUUGUGUUCACCUUUUAAUGAAUGUCAACCAGAUCAAAUAAGAAACGUUAACCGAUGUGGGACAGCAGUGGUCGGUGACAUGUAAUUUGACCCCCCCCCCUUUUUACAGUUCAUUAUUAUAAACUCUUUGCGUCGAUAUCCAUUCUGUAUAAAUGUCAUUUACACUAGAACGUCAACCACACAAGAAGUGCUGAGUCUGCGUAGACAUGAAACUUAGGAUUGUUAUCAUAGCGAUGACGAUAUUUAUCCUUCACACAUUUGCUCAAGAUGACGUCAUUAAACAUAGGUUGCAUAAGCGGUACAUGGCUGAUUUGACGCUGCCUUCUAUCAUCGCCAGUCUGAGCCGCCGGAACGUCUGUCCUACUGUCGACUGUCAGUACUACGAACUCAUGAAAUAUGGUAGAAGAAAGCGGGAUUUGUCCCUUCUAAAAUACGAAAUAUGCUGUGAUAAUUGACUUAAAUAAUAGAAUACUUAAUAAAUUAUGUUUUAUCCAAGAA